UAUGGCCACAGCACAUUGAAACAUUGUUUCCUGUAUGAUCUCCAAAGUUAAAUAACAUUGAGCCUGGUCAGUACCUAGAUGGGUGAAUGCUUGAGAAUACCAGGUGCUGUAA